CUGAAAUGACAAAUGUUGUAAAAUAGACAUCACUACCAGAUAGAAAUACACAUGUUCUUCAUAAUCAUUUUCCACAAUUAAAUAGAAAAUUUGUGUUCCUGACAAUUCAAAAAUCACGAUAAAUCUCAGAAGUCUGGAAAGAACUCUGACCUCAUUAGGCCCCAAACAUACACUGGAGGAGCAAGAUCGGCCCCAGAGGAACUGACAUUUUCAUCAUCUCUGGUAAGGAUGGGCAUCUGAGGGGCUCAAAUGGACCACUACGCAACCAGAAAAAUAACUACCCUUUCCACUAUAAGUGUGUCUCUGGCAUGUGCUCUUCAGAGUGAUAGAGAUGAAGACUGAAGAGGAGAGAAAAGAAGGGUUGCCAGCAGCAAUCAAUCAGCUGAUCAGCCUUUUGAGAGAGGAGAUGAUACUAUGAAACUCGCAACCCAAGUAAAUGAGAGUGCGAGAAUCCAUCCCCUAAUACUUCACAAACUAUGAAGCCUCUCUCUCCACUUAUGUCACUUGUCCAUGGCUACCAGACGCUCUGACUCCAUUUUUUCAUGGUCUAUUCUCAUCAGCUUCUGGUUUUUCUUCUUUCCGUUUCUCCUUUCCUUUCCGUCUCUGCCUUUAACCUUUUACCCCCAUUUUUAUGGGGUCACAAUAUGGAACUGAAAGGUUUUUUAAACAGUCUCAAAAAAUAUUCUUGGAUAAAAUUGGGUAAUCUUCAUUUUUUAAAUCAGGUAAGUCAUAUUUUACAUGUAUCUUUAUGUUUCUCAAAAACCAGCUCCUUUUCCAUAUUGGCCUUCAUUAAUUUAGGGAGUCCGUGGCCUUACACUGGGAGGUGGGGGACUUUCCAGUCAUCUACAACAUAUAAUUACCUGUCUUUCUGAGAAAAUGGAACGUUAACUGCAAGUUAUCUUUUUGACAACUCUUCUCCCAUGAAAUAAUACAAAUUGUCAACUUAAAGAACAUCACUAAAUUCACUCAAGCCUAUUUUACAAUUUGAGGUGACAAGAUUCUACAAAAUAGAGAAAGGAGUUGUCUUGGUUUGGCUUAUAUUCUAGAAUAGCUGAAUACCCAGUUACCAAGUUAGUUAUUUAGCUAACUUCUCCCAUCAGAUGGGUACUUCUACUUCCACAUUCCUAGAGGCCAAUUUAAAGCAAAAACCAAAACUUUUCAUACAAAGCACAUUCCUAGAGGCCAAUUUAAGGCAAAAAAAAAAAAAAAAAAAACCCCAAAAAAC